UCACACGACAGAAAGUUGGAGACUAGGAAUGGAAAUAUAUAGAACAAGCUAUGGCGUCUAAAUAUGCAGAUGAUUCAGAUACGAAUGGAGUACGCACAACUGAUAUUGAAAAUUUCUUAAGAGUUAUUGAGGGGAAUGAUCAGGAGACGGCCUUGCAAUUACUAUAUGAGAGUUGUGGGUGGUCGCCGGCAUCUCAUUGGCAGAAGCCCGUCACUGAAUAUGGUGACAGUCAUCCAGUAUGGAAGGAUUUUGUCGUUCUGUCAAUGAAAAACAUUAGACGAUUCGAGAUAGAUGAUGAAUCAUUUGAACGUGCAGGACGCUACACAAACGCUGUUCUAGAAUUAAUGUUCAAAGCAAUGACAGAAAAUGCAUCAAGAUAUACAGGUCUCGUCCUUGAAGGUUAUAGUUACCAGGGCAGCUCAAGAGAUGGUCUGAAAGUCAUUUCACCUAAUGAAUUCGAUACAAUGCUGACAUUUCAUAUUGAAAGUUUGGGCUGUGUGGAAAAUAAGAUAGAAAAAGAUGGAAAAGAGGUUGCAGGAUUUUGUUAUAUUAGAGCUGCUGAAGCGUUUACUAUGGAGCAACUAGAAGAGAAAUAUCCGGAAUUAUACAGAUGUGGAAUCUUUGAGAUGAAAGCAGGCAGCGUGUUUAUAUCUUCUCGUAAACUUCAUCAAUGCAUUUUUGAAUCAAUUGUUGACAAGUCCAUCGAAGACAUUGUGAAUAUUGCAAAAGCUCCACAUCUGCAUGGAAAUAAUUUGCCAACAAUCAAGCGCAAAAUGAACCCACCAUCUAUCAAUAUUGUUGUAGAAAUAUCAAACAGAGAUGAUGAUUUGUAUCCAGAUAAAAUAGAUAUAGACAUAGUCGCUGCUUUAUUGCUUCACAAAGAAUAUGAAAGAAGUAAUGAAGACCAAUCAAUACCAUUUUGAGUAUAUGCCCUGUGUAAAUGGAGCGAAAGCGAAAGCAGCAAAGCAUCUGAUUUCGCGGAUUCGGAAAGUAUUUGGCAUAUUUCAAGAGUAUCGUAUCAGAACUACAUCUUUGAUGUCGCACGUCAGGACCACAGACAACGCUGUGUAAUGAUGGCCAUUCGACUUCUGAAAACCUACUUCAUAAAAUCAAAAGGAAACAAUGAAGACACACCGCAAGUUGUAUCGCUCCUGAAGUCCUACCACAUCAAACAAAUUGGUUUAUACGUACUGCUUUACUUGUGUUACAAAAAAACGGACAUUGUUCUGCAUGGCACAGAAGACACCGUCCGAUAUAUAUUCAUGUUCAUGGGCACAGCACUGACAGAGAAACAACUGCCUCAUUUCUUCCAUUCGCACUCAGAGAUAAAGUUCAUCUUUCCAAAUUACCCUAAAAAUCCUUCGGCCCUGAGCUACGAUUUGUUUCAUGACAUUGAUGCUGAUGCCUUCCGCCAAGCACAUACAUCCUGGAUUUAUAAGGUAGCAGCUGACUUUCUUUUCGAGCCUGGCAUAACUGAUCGGGACUCUUUGAUCCAGACAAAGUCUUUUGAAGCGAGUCUGUCAGCAGAUAAAUGUUUUUAAAUGAUAAACACCAGUGAUAAUAGGACCAUAGCAGUAUUCGCAUACAUGUGUACAUGAUAACCAUAUGCACAAAAUACAUGGACAAAGUACUACAUUUAAAAAAGAUUACAGUGGAAUUAGAAUAGAAUGGAAAACAAUAGAAUAAUGUUUCUUUCCAAUAAAGGGACCUUUAAAAUAAUAAAAUACAUGCGUUAUCAUAAAAAUAAAAAACAUAUCACCAAUCAACAGUUAAUUAAUAUAGUAAAAUAAUGUAUUAAAACAACAAUCAAUUGAUUUGAUAUGUGUCUAUGUCAUCCUUAGCCGUGUUUAUCUUCUUCGUCUUCUUUUAAAUCAUUGAUUAAUGACGAAUAAAACUUUAGAUUGUUUCAUUCUAUACAUUAUAAUUAUUGAAUAUUAAAUUUCACAAUAUCCUCUUCUAUGUUUAAGGUAAGUGUCUCUGGUAGAUGUUUGGAAAUAAUAUUUGAUACAGUUAUGCUCUAUUCUUUUAAGUAACGAUCUUGAUCUUUUUAUUGUUAAAUUUGGAGCUUUUAUGGUUUUGAUGAAACCUCGUUUUUAACUUAUUACAUGUAUAAUGUUUUGACUUUAGACCCCAAAACGCUAACUGAUAAAUUGUUUUCAUAAUGCGUUUUUUAAAGUUUUAAAUAUAUCCGCAGAUGACUUUGUACUUUACAAGUGUCACCAGUAAUUUCUACCUGGUCAAUGAUAGUUACUUUCUCGACGACCAUUCCGCUAACUUUUUGAAGCUGAUCUAUUUCAUCGAUAACAUCUACUGCUUGCUUUACUGAUAUCUUAAUGUUUUUGCUCAAAAGCAAUGUGCCAAGUCUUGACAGAUACAGUGCGUCUGUUUUUAAAAUGCCUCCUAAUGUGUUACCUUUCUGAACUAAAUUGGAAUUACCACCCAUUUGUAAAUUCUUAUAAUAAUCAUUUGUAAUAUACUUCUUUAAGCUCUUAUUUGUUAGUUAAUUCGUAGUUGAUCCUUGGCAAUCCUAGUGAAAAUAACAACUUUCGUACCAUCUGUGUGCGAUAUUGCAAUAUUUGAUACUUUUAUAAUUUUAUCAACACAUUCCAUCUCACUUUUUUGGUCAGUUUUGAUACAUAUGACAUGAAAUAUGUAAGCAUUUCUAUUUGCUGGUGAUAUAGACAGGCGUUUCUUUGCAUCUACUCUAUUUUUGAUGAAACUUUUACUUAUAUAUACUUUAUAUACUUUAACUUUGAUGUACCUAUAUUUUCCACUUCCUGUUCUUUAUUCUUGAAGUUGUUAACAUUACUAGUCUUUUUUCGUGUCAAGAGUUUCUAUAUUUCUUGUGUUAUUGUUUCUUCCUGCCUGUGCUUUUACUUUCACGUCUGUAUUUGAUUUAAUGUUGUCUCUGUCGUCUCAUCAUUUACUCUUAGUAAAUGAAACGCGUGACCCUUAAUGUGUUCUCAAACUCUGAAAUAGUCUCAUUCUUGUUUUUUUCUCGUUCAUCUUUGAAUUUUAUUUCUUCUUCUAAAAGGUCUGUAAAACUCUAACUGUAUUUGUAAAGUCUUAACAUCGUUACGAAGUUAAGACAUCGGAAGUUCUUUUUCUAAAUAUGUAACAUGAUUUGCCUGUUUCAGGUUGUUCUUUUUUUCUUAACUUGCAGUACUUUGUUGGUUUGCUUUUACAGACUUUGCAUUCUUGCUCUUUAAGUUAAUUCUGA
rnacentral:misc_RNA from 1 species